CAAAUAUCAGAGGUGAUACGAAUGUCAGUUUAUAUGUAAAAUUGCUACACUUCAGACCCCUGUCAAACUGGCAACAAAGCUCUCGGUGUGACAAGGUCUGGGCAACUGGCUUAAAAAUCAUGAGCUUUUGAAAACAAUAAAUGUGGGGUUCUUUUUAUUUGCUUGCAGCUUGAGCUGUUGGGGUUCAAGUUUUCCUGAUUUUAUUCUCAAUCGCAAAGACUAGAGGCGUACAUUUUCUUUUAAAUAAAUGUGACAUUCUCAUUGUAGCAGGGCAGUCUGUUCUUUUAAGGGCCUGCAGAGCCAGGGAGCAGAAAGCCCUGUCUAAAGAGAAGUCCAGUAGGCAGGUGUUGGGAAUAAGAGGAUCUGGGUAAGCAGCAACUAAUGAUUGCUCUGAUUCCCAGCUGGAAGAUAUAAGUAAAGACCCAAGCUCUAUAGUAGAGAGUAGGGGAGACAGUUGUAGGAGGCUGUAAUGGGAUCUGGCUGGAUCUGUGAGCCUCCUGAGGCUAAAGGAGGUCUAAGACCUUGAGCUACUGGUGGAUAGAGGACACUGCAGUAUCAAUCCAGGUUGCCCAUCUCCAGAGGAUAUGGAUAUAGUACAGCCCUCGCUAGACAGCUACACUUAUGUGAUGGCCACCAGCUUGGAUUAGAAGGCAGGGAGGAGGCAUGACCAGAGUAAACACAUACUGCUUAUUCUCAACUGGUGGAUGGUGCUUUGUGGACCAUUACUCCCAGACUGGCUUAAUGUGCACCAUGAGGAGGCCAGGCAGAGAAUCAGAUUGUGAAAUCAAUAAGAGAAUGCUAUAUCUACAGGAAGGGACACAUUGCAGGAGGGUGUCCAAUUUAUGAAUAAAGAUCAAAGGAGUGUUUUGAUAUAUUUGGGAUUGGAAGGAGCCUGACAGUAUCCUUUACUUAGGGGGCAAGCUGGCGAUGUAUUUUGUCUCAUGAAAAAAAGAUCACAGCCACAUCUGGCUGAAAAAUGCCAGAAGGACUUUGGGGUGAGCUUCGCUUCACUAAACAUAAAAAUAUCUAGUAAAAUAGUCUAGGUUCUAGAAUGCAUGUUAUGAUUUUAUUGUAUAUGUAAC